rnacentral:rRNA from 1 species
AGUGAACGCUGGCGGUAGGCCUAACACAUGCAAGUCGAACGGCAGCACUGGAGAGCUUGCUCUCUGAGUGGCGAGUGGCGGACGGGUGAGGAAUACAUCGGAAUCUACUUUUUCGUGGGGGAUAACGUAGGGAAACUUACGCUAAUACCGCAUACGACCUACGGGUGAAAGCAGGGGACCUUCGGGCCUUGCGCGAUUGAAUGAGCCGAUGUCGGAUUAGCUAGUUGGUGGGGUAAAGGCCCACCAAGGCGACGAUCCGUAGCUGGUCUGAGAGGAUGAUCAGCCACACUGGAACUGAGACACGGUCCAGACUACUACGGGAGGCAGCAGUGGGGAAUAUUGGACAAUGGGCGCAAGCCUGAUCCAGCCAUACCGCGUGGGUGAAGAAGGCCUUCGGGUUGUAGAGCCCUUUUGUUGGGAAAGAAAUCCAGCUGGCUAAUACCCGGUUGGGAUGACGGUACCCAAAGAAUAAGCACCGGCUAACUUCGUGCCAGCAGCCGCCGUAA